UGAGUCGGUCGGGCGGCCGCGCGGGCGCGAGCCCUCGAGGAACGUCCGGGCUCCACAGGGCAGGGUGGUGGCUAACGGCCACCCGGGGCGACCCGCGGGACAGUGCCACAGAGAACAGACCGCCGCGGCCAGUCCGCGGUCAGGGUGAAACGGUGGGGUAAGAGCCCACCAGCGAUGCGGGUGACCGCAUCGGCUCGGCAAACCCCACCCGGAGCAAGACCGAGCAGCGAGCAGGGCGGCCCGUCCGAUGCUCGCGGGUAGGUCGCUGGAGGCCUGCGGCGACGCAGGUCCUAGAGAGAUGGUCGCCGCCGCGCCACCGGUGACGGUGCGCGGAACAGAACCCGGCGUACAGGCCGGCUCAUCCG
rnacentral:RNase_P_RNA from 1 species